GACGCGGAGGAGGAUGAGGAGGGAGGCGGAAGGUCCCCUCGCAGACUCCCUCGCUCUCUCCCUCCCUCCAAGGUCAAAAACAUGGCUGUCUGGAGAAUGGGAUGCUUGCCAGAACAUCAAUCUGUGCUGGGUGCCAUACUGGUUAUCCUUCCAGUGGUGGAAUACAACUUGGGUCUCCUCAGGAGGUGACUGGUGUGGAACAAACUGUACCAGACAUCGAUGGUGUGAAGACCUGAUGUCUUCGUUGUUUGGAUACGUGUGUAAGUUAACGAGCUACUGGGAGAAGACGAAGAAGCUUUUGCAGAAACAUGAGGAUAUUGUGGGAAAUGCUGCUGCUGACCAUUUGGAUUAUAUUGCUGCCUGACACACAGGUUCUGCAGAUAACAUAAGGAACUCUCCAGAUCUUUUUUGUUGUGUGAUUGCUGAAGCAUUUUCCUGGCACAGCAGUAAUGAUUGAUGAACACACUUCAGAAUGAAGCAACUGUCUCAGAGUGGCAUUGAUCUGUCAUAAGAAGCCAUCUGAUACUACAGCAUCAAAGAAAGCUGCUCUUUCUUGCCAGUUUAUGCCUGCAGAACAGGACAGGCUGUUUUCUCUAAAUCUCAGCCACCAAACUUUGGACCAACUUGUCCUUGCAUCAGCGUUCUUGUCAAGCGUCAUCCUUCUGACCAGCUAUGGAGUGAGUCACGAGCUUCCUAACUUGUGUCAAACAUAAACGUCUGAAAAGUUUGGAGCCUGCUUUUGGAGAAAAAUCUUGGAUUCUGCAACCAACUGUGCCUCCAGAUACAUGGAAGAUGACUAAAACAGAACUGCCUUCAACAGGCACAGUGAACAUCAGUUUCAGAAGUUAAAAAAAAGUCUUAUCUUUAAAGCUAGUCUUGCUCAUCUUAAUGGAAACAAGUAGCUUUGGUACUGGCAGCAGGUAGUGACUCCCACUGAAAAUACAACACAUGGGAGUGCAAGAGGUGUUAGGUGAGCUAAGUAAUCAAAACUGCUUGGAAGACAAGUAACAUGCUUCUUGUGAUUUCUGGCAUUGAAAUUUCUAGUUUAGGUUUGUUCUCUUUCAUGGUGACUGUGGGAUUGUACUUUCAGUUAAAUUCCUGUAAAGUUUUUGAAAGAUAAACAUUUAUUUCCAUCACAGAUACUGAAGAGAGGACUCCAUUAUUGGGAGUGCUCAGAAACGUGAUAUUUUGAAAUUUUUGGCCUGACAUGUCUCAAUUGUACACUUAGCUAUGUUUUUUCAGGGUCACAGUUAGACUUUGGUUCAUUUUGUCAGCUGUAGAAUAUUUGGAGUGGAUUACAAACAGGAACGUGGAACUAAUUUUAUCGUGUUGAUUUUAUGUUCAGUGACUUCUGCGCUGGUCUUUAAUUUGUCAUCUUCACUCUAGCUAUGGGCUCAAGUAUUCCGACAUUCAGAAUGGGCCCUGGUAUUAGAGACUUCAGUAACAAAAGUCUUUUUGUCUUUGAGCAUUUGAAAACUGACAGGCCAUCCUUUAAACUGUUCGAUCAAAUUUAACGGGGAUUGAUGGUCUUAUCUCGUUUUUUGUCAGUUUUCUACACAUUAUUAAGCAGUUUAUGGUGAUGAGUACUUCAGAAAAGUCAGUUUAACUUGUGAAAUGCCAGUCUGCUAAAAACAUCCUUUGUCACUUCCCCAGCCCCCACACCACCUCUUCUUACAGACAUGCUCUAGGAGUUAAUAAAAAACACACCAGACAGAAAACCCAGUGUAGGGAAAAAAAAAUCUCCCUGAGAGAGCUGUAGCAACUCCCACGCAAUAAAUUCACAGCUGAAUGAACACUGCUGCUGUUUUGCCUAGGCAAGGAU